rnacentral:rRNA from 1 species
AUUGAACGCUGGCGGCAGGCCUAACACAUGCAAGUCGAGCGGAUGAGUGGAGCUUGCUCCAUGAUUCAGCGGCGGACGGGUGAGUAAUGCCUAGGAAUCUGCCUGGUAGUGGGGGGCAACGUUUCGAAAGGAACGCUAAUACCGCAUACGUCCUACGGGAGAAAGCAGGGGACCUUCGGGCCUUGCGCUAUCAGAUGAGCCUAGGUCGGAUUAGCUAGUAGGUGAGGUAAUGGCUCACCUAGGCGACGAUCCGUAACUGGUCUGAGAGGAUGAUCAGUCACACUGGAACUGAGACACGGUCCAGACUCCUACGGGAGGCAGCAGUGGGGAAUAUUGGACAAUGGGCGAAAGCCUGAUCCAGCCAUGCCGCGUGUGUGAAGAAGGUCUUCGGAUUGUAAAGCACUUUAAGUUGGGAGGAAGGGCAGUAAGUUAAUACCUUGCUGUUUUGACGUUACCAACAGAAUAAGCACCGGCUAACUUCGUG